rnacentral:sRNA from 1 species
AGGAAGUGAGCGGAUGCUGGGCGGGGCACUCUUCCACGCCUUGUAGACCAUGUCUGGCAUCACCCUGUUCGAAGGAAUAAAUUCAAAUACCUGAUUGACCAUCCCGUCUCCCUCACGGGAGCUGGAAGGGAUAUUUCUUUUCUGUAUGAUGUUACAUAUGCCAAGGGACAGACUAGGGAGAAGGCAGUUUGUCCCCCACAUUUGUCCCGUUCAUUACAGUCACAUGAUGGUGUCAUUGUGCCCCAUAAGCCAAAGACACUAAGAGAUACGUUGAUUCCUGAAGAAUUUCAUAUUGUGUCAAGUACAGGAGUUUCAGGUUUGGAGUGUUAUGAUGACAAAUACACUACUCUCCUCACAGAUAGUGCAAACAGGCUAUUGCUCUUCCCAUCCAUGAAACCUAAUAAAAGAGUAGAAGUGGCCCAGCUGAAUGAUGUGAUGGAUACUAUGCUAGAGAGGGCUGGUGUGGAAAAUCAGGAAUAUACAGGACCAACUAAGAUGCACAAACUACUACAUAUAUUGAAGAAGGAACAGACCAUUUACAACGUGAUAUUUCAUGAACUUAUUCGACAAGUCAGUGUGGACUGUGCAGACAGAGGAGAACUUCUGUCUAAAGUCAGAGAGAGGUAUGUGCAAAUGCUUGACCAGAUUGCCCGGCAGAUGAUUGAUUUCUACAAAGACUUGGUAACUCAGCGAGUGAUGGACCAGCGCAUUUUAGAAGAAUUGUAUAAUUUCAAGCAUGUUAUUGAAGAACUGACCAGGGAACUGUGUCUAGUUCGGGCACAUGAUGUGAAAUUAACAAAGGAAACAGAAAAAGCCCACAAGGAUUUGGCACAAGCUCUUUUAGAUGCGGAAAAGAAUGCCAAAAUGGUAGAAGAAUAUCAUGACUUAUAUACAUUACAAAGAGAAAGGAUGGAGAAUGAUAUGAAGCAGUUAGUGGCAGAAAGAGAUAUCUGGAGCUCAGCCACAUAUGAAUUGGCCCUGAAGGUAAUUGAAAGAAAUAGAGUCAUAUUGGCUAGAAGACUUUACCUUAAUGAAAAAGGCUGGAAUAAAUACACUAAGCAUUUCAUCCUACUGCUGUCAAACAAGGACACUGAAGACCUUGCACUGCUGCAGAGGUUGACACAAAAAUGGAGAAACUUAGUGAAUAAAUUUAAACAAGAGGUAGAACAAAUGGAAGAGUCUACAAGUGAGACACUGAAAAUUGUUAAGGAUGGGCUUAUCAAAUGGCAGGAGUUCUUCAAUGAAAAAGACAAUUUAUCCCCUAAUAAGGGAAAUAUAUUUGAUUCAGUUCUUUUAGACUUCAAACAGUGGCAGAAGAUCCUGAAUGAGAAAAAAGAAGAGUUUACUGGGGAUGUUCUACUGUCAAAAUACGAUACUCUCAAGAUUAUUAAACAUUUACAGGAAAACUGGGCAGAUAUUGGGCUUGGGAUAUUUAAUCGCCAUAAAAGUUUGGAGGGGGAGAUGCCAUCAGAGCGACAGUACAUGGAGGAAAUUAUCAAAAACAUACAAAAACUCUACAAAGAAUAUGAAAUAAGAAUAAAUGGGGACAAUGAGACAGGAUCUCACUAUGUUGCACAGGCUGGUCUCAAACUUUUGGGUUCAAGUGAUCAUCCCACUUCAGCCCCCCAAAGUGCUGGAAUUAGAGGCAUAAUCCACCGCACCUGGCCUUGGGUUAAUUUUUAUAUAGUGUGUGAGGUUACUCCAAAAUUCUUCCAAGUUUGAUUAGUUCUCUUGACUUCUGUUCUUUCAAGUUGGAAAACCUGGAGUUUCCUGAUACGCCUCUUGAAGAAUGGCAGGAAAUAGAUGAAAAAAUUAAUGAAAUGAAAUCACAGUUGGAUAUAUUGUUAAACCUUACUGGUAUUGUUCCACAGCACAUAGAUGUGGAUUCUGUUUCGUAAGUUCCCAUAGCUUUCUUUUGUUUUGAGAGAAUUUUCCCAAAGGUUUAUUGCAAUACAAUUCAUAUAUAAUUC